rnacentral:lncRNA from 1 species
AGACAGGAGGUAAAGGAACCCUGGCAAGCAUGGGGAUUCUCUUCAGGUAAGCUGUGGUGUAUAAUAAUAGAAACCUUUUCCAAUGAAAAUCCUCAAAGUGACUCUGCUCUUCUGAGCCACAACUUCCGGAGGUCAGACAAAGCCAGGGCCAAAUGAGAACCAACAGCAGUUGCACAAAACGGCUGCCAACAUAUGAUAUCGCAAAUUGCCCUAAGAGAUCUUGGCUCUUAUUAGCUGGGACUUGGUUCAUUCAACGCUGCGCUGCUCCAGGCAAGACGCAGAAUCCCCACUAAGCAGGCUCCUGUUCGGUGAGGUGUGUGACUGGAUUUAAUGUUGUCCGGAUAAAGGAUUUUCUUUGACAAGAGAAGAUGCCCUUUGAGAGUCACUGAACUUCCAAGGCCUGGCCCUAUCCCUUUGAAUCACAAUAUCUGAAUUCUAAUCUCCAAUCUUCUAUUUAUUAAUUUUUUCAAAUAUCUUUUCUAUAUUGCGCAGUCUGCCCAUGCAGAAUUGACCAGCGGUUCAUGUGCAUAACAGAAUCCUCCACCUAAAUUUAGAAAUUGGUAAAUAAAACAAAGAUAGGAGACUCAAAGUCUGCA